rnacentral:rRNA from 1 species
UACGUAGGGUGCAAGCGUUAAUCGGAAUUACUGGGCGUAAAGCGUGCGUAGGUGGUGAGUUAAGUCUGAUGUGAAAUCCCCGGGCUCAACCUGGGAAUGGCAUUGGAUACUGGCUCGCUAGAGUGCGGUAGAGGGUGGUGGAAUUCCCGGUGUAGCAGUGAAAUGCGUAGAGAUCGGGAGGAACAUCUGUGGCGAAGGGCGGCCCACCUGGACCAACACUGACACUGAGGCACG